AAACCAACAGGGAUUGCCUUAGUAACGGCGAGUGAAGCGGCAAAAGCUCAAAUUUGAAAGCUUCGGCAUUGUAAUUUCAAGGUUUAGGGUUCGAAGUUUGCACCAAGUCCAUUGGAACAUGGCGCCUCAGAGGGUGACAGCCCCGUACGCAAAAUCACUCAUACCCUAUUCCAAAGAGUCGAGUUGUUUGGGAAUGCAGCUCUAAGUGGGUGGUAAAUUCCAUCUAAAGCUAAAUAUUGGCGAGAGACCGAUAGCGAACAAGUACAGUGAUGGAAAGAUGAAAAGCACUUUGAAAAGAGAGUGAAACAGUACGUGAAAUUGUUGGAAGGGAAGGGCUUGCAAGCAGACACGGUUUCGGCCGGGCCAGCAUCAGUUGUAAGGGCGCCACAAGGCCAUUUAGAAUGUAAGCUUCGGUGGUUAUAGCUAAGUGGACAUGGCGCCUCCUACGACUGAGGCCUGCAGUAUAUCUUAGGAUGCUG
rnacentral:rRNA from 1 species